UACGUAGGGUGCGAGCGUUAAUCGGAAUUACUGGGCGUAAAGCGUGCGCAGGCGGUUUUGUAAGCCAGAUGUGAAAUCCCCGGGCUUAACCUGGGAAUGGCAUUUGGGACUGCAAGGCUUGAGUGCGGCAGAGGGGACUGGAAUUCCUGGUGUAGCAGUGAAAUGCGUAGAGAUCAGGAGGAAUACCGAUGGCGAAGGCAGGUCCCUGGGCUGACACUGACGCUCAUGCACGAAAGCGUGGGGAGCAAACAGG
rnacentral:rRNA from 1 species